CUCACAGUUCUUCAGUUCCCUCGGCCGGAGUGCAGUGACGGGAAGGAAGGCACCGGAUUCCUUCGGGACACACUCUGGUGUUGACGGAUCUCCUGCCAGAUGUUGGUUAAGGUGCCCUUGAUGGUAUAGGGUUUAGGUGCAGGGAAGGCCGGGUCCCUGAUGUCAUCAUGCCAGCACCCUUGGGUGCAAAUGAGGUCAUA